GAAAUUGCCCAAACUGUCCAUUUUGCCCUUCUCCUAUAAUUUCUUUACCCAUACAAAAGGUUAAUCAUGUAAUUAACAAAAUAAAAAAUAGCACAUGCCAAAUGUUGUAUUCUCAUUGGUCAGAUUUUUCAAUUGUUGUACUUUGGAUAAACCUUUUCCCUCUUUCUCACUUUUUGUUUUCAAGAACACAACUUUUUUCUCUCUCUCUCUCUCUCUCAUUUUCUCUCGUCUCUCUCUUUCUCUCCUUCCCUCUUCUCUCUUCUUCUUCUCAAACCCUAAAAAUGUCUGAACAAAAAAAGCCACAGACUCCCAUCCCCCGCCGUCGCACACCCAGAUCGCGCCGGGACUCCCAUCCCCGUCGUCGCCUCUUUCUCAUGCCACCACUGAUUUCGGUUCAUCAACAAACCCUAACACUACCGCCACCCUCCUUUCUCCACCAUAGAUUUACCCCUUUUUUCUGCAAAUUUCUCUAAGUGUAUCACAUCUAUUUACUACCCAUUAUUUUCAUUCCUGAACAUUAGAGAUCUAUAAAUUUCAAAGAAGAAUAAACGAAAGUUGUGAGAUGGUGAAGGUUCCCUUAGCUUUACCCACCACACUUGAACCGAUGGAUGCGAAUGAGAGUUUAGGUAAUUUUAGUCAUAUGGUUGAAGAGUUAUAACACAAAGUUCUGUUUAGUUUUAAGAACACAUUUUAAUGACUUUUGUUAAUUUUUCAGAAGUCAAUGCUUAGGUAAUCAAGUCUUCUAUUUUAAAUGGACCUUUUGCGGUCUAUAAGAACUUUAACUCAAAGUAUGAUUUUCCAUUCAUUUUAGUUUCCAUGUUAUUUUGGUUUUUCAGGUUUUGAUUUCGUUGCAAACUUGUCUUUGGGUCGUUCCCUUUUGAUAACUCUGCUGCCAACUUGAUUAACACCGAGUUCAAUGACUUUCUGAUUUUGAAUUUUUGUUCUUAUAGUUCAUUUGAGUUUUUGAUCCUUUUCAGGUUGUAUUUAUAAAGUUAAGUUUUUGGCUUCCAGAUGAUGGAGAAAUUGCAGAACCUUUUGAAUUUACAGGAGCCAUGGCUUUCACUGUACAUAAGUUGCAAUAUGCUCAUAAGCUUCUAUCCCCAGAGUUCUAGCAUUCGAUUCAGCAACGGAUUCAUUUUAUUCCAACAAACUGUCAAAUCCUGAUGUUUUCAGCAAUAUAUCAUGUUACUGUGAAGGACUUACAGAUGAGUUCACUCUGAAGAGUAUUACACAAUUUUAUGUAUUUGUGGAAGAGAGACAGAAAAUCCACUGCUUAAAUACUCUCUUUUCUAAGGUUUGAUUUUUCUUUGUCCUCUUGAUUUUCUUAUUUGCCAUCUGUGAAUAUUAAGAUGCUAAUAAUAGUAGUUUCUUUUCUAACUACAAAUAAACCAGUUCUGCAACUCAGUGAAUCGGGUUGAGCUCCUUGCCAAGAAAAUCACCGAACUGGGGUAUUCAUGUUUCUAAAUUAGCUGCUGUGCUAUGAAGUCAUUCAUAAUACGAUAACCAGACAUAGCUUCUUAUGUUUUUCCCUUCUCACCUUUUAUUGAAUGUGUGCGAAACUUAAAGUAUUUAUCUAAUUAAAUUUAACAAACUAUGCAUUUUUGUUGAGAUUACAGCCCGUGGUGCAUUAAAGUAUCUUUUUCAACAAGAAGUUCAAAAGAGUAGUCAGCAUCUUCAACAAUUAUUCAGCCCCGUCCACUUUCAAUCCAGCAUUCUUGGAGUCUCACAGCAUCAUAUAGCUUUGUAAGUUCAAACAUAAUAGGAUCAUCCACCGGAUCACUCUCGACUCCAACUAUGUAAACACCACUGCCAUCUGGACAAGAUAGUAUAUUGUACACAAUUUAUACCAACAAAGAAUCAAUUGGUAAGAGAUUUAUUUUCUACAACCAAUUUCUUAAAUACACUACUUGAUUAUGUUGUAAGAACUGGUGGAUAAACCAAUUUAAACAAACACAUUUUCAAAUGUUUGCUAAAAAAACAAUAUAAGAAUUGUUUUUGUUAAUAA